rnacentral:rRNA from 1 species
AUUGAACGCUGGCGGCAGGCUUAACACAUGCAAGUCGAACGAGCGGCGGACGGGUGAGUAAUGUCUGGGAACCUGCCUUAUGGAGAGGGCUAACUACUGGAAACGGUAGCUAAUACCGCAUACCAUCAGAUGUGCCCAGAUGAGAUUAGCUAGUAGGUGGGGUAAGGGCUCACCUAGGCGACGACCCCUAGCUGGUCUGAGAGGAUGACCAGCCACACUGGAACUGAGACACGGUCCAGACUCCUACGGGAGGCAGCAGUGGGGAAUAUUGCACAAUGGGCGCAAGCCUGAUGCAGCAAUGCCGCGUGGGUGAAGAAGGCUUUCGGGUUGUAAAGCACUGUCAGCGAGGAGGCGUUACUCGCAGAAGAAGCACCGGCUAACUCCGUGCCAGCAGCCGCGGUAAUAC